rnacentral:rRNA from 1 species
GACCAACGCUGGCGGCGUGCUUAACACAUGCAAGUCGAACGGAAAGGCCUGCUUUCCCUUGUGGAUUGCGGGUACUCGAGUGGCGAACGGGUGAGUAACACGUGAGUGAUCUGCCCCCAACUUGGGUAUAAGCCUGGGAAACUGGGUCUAAUUCCCGAUAGGACUGCAGGGUGGUGCCUGUGGUGGAAAACGAUUUUCUAGUGGUUGGGGAUGAGCUCGCGGCCUAUCAGCUUGUUGGUGGGGUAAUGGCCUACCAAGGCGGCGACGGGUAGCCGGCCUGGGAGGGUGGACGGGCACAUUGGGACUGAGAUACGGCCCAGACGCCUACGGGAGGCAGCAGUGGGGAAUAUUGCACAAUGGGCGGAAGCCUGAUGCAGCGACGCCGCGUGGGGGAUGACGGCCUUCGGGUUGUAAACUCCUUUCGACCGCGAGGAAGCCACCUGGUUGGAAGGGUGGUGACGGUAGUGGUAGAAGAAGCACCGGCUAACUACGUG